GACGAACGCUGGCGGCGUGCUUAACACAUGCAAGUCGAACGGAAAGGCCCUGCUUUUGUGGGGUGCUCGAGUGGCGAAAGGGUGAGUAACACGUGAGUAUCCUGCCCUUGACUUUGGGAUAACUUCAGGAAACAGGGGCUAAUACCGGAUAGGAGCUCCUGCUGCAUGGUGGGGGUUGGAAAGUUUCGGCGGUUGGGGAUGGACUCGAGGCUUAUCAGCUUGUUGGUGGGGUAGUGGCUUACCAAGGCUUUGACGGGUAGCCGGCCUGGGAGGGUGACCGGCCACAUUGGGACUGAGAUACGGCCCAGACUCCUACGGGAGGCAGCAGUGGAGAAUGUUGCACAGUGGGCGGAAGCCUGAUGCAGCAACGCCGCGUGCGGGAUGACGGCCUUCUGGUUGUAAACCGCUUUCGCCUGUGACGAAGCGUGAGUGACGGUAAUGGGUAAGGAAGCACCGGCUAACUACGUG
rnacentral:rRNA from 1 species